UGCCAGACUCCUACGGGAGGCAGCAGUGGGGAAUAUUGGGCAAUGGGCGCAAGCCUGACCCAGCAACGCCGCGUGAAGGAAGAAGGCUUUCGGGUUGUAAACUUCUUUUAAGAGGGAAGAGUAGAAGACGGUACCUCUUGAAUAAGCCACGGCUAACUACGUGCCAGCAGCCGCGGUAAUACGUAGGUGGCAAGCGUUGUCCGGAUUUACUGGGUGUAAAGGGCGUGUAGCCGGGUUGACAAGUCAGAUGUGAAAUCCUGCGGCUUAACCGCAGAACUGCAUUUGAAACUGUUGAUCUUGAGUACUGGAGAGGCAGACGGAAUUCCUAGUGUAGCGGUGAAAUGCGUAGAUAUCAGGAGGAACACCGGCGGCGAAGGCGGCCUGCUGGACCGCGACUGACGUUGAGGCUCGAAAGCGUGGGGAGCGAACAGGAUUAGAUACCCCAGUAUG
rnacentral:rRNA from 1 species